AAAAGUCGUAACAAGGUUUCCGUAGGUGAACCUGCGGAAGGAUCAUUAAUAAAAGGAUACCUUCGGGUAUACCCCAUCCGUGUCUACAUACUCUUGUUGCUUUGGCAGGCCGUGGUCUUCCACUGUGGGCUCUGCCUGCAUGUGCCUGCCAGAGGACCAAACUCUGAACGUUAGUGAUGUCUGAGUACUAUAUAAUAGUUAAAACUUUCAACAACGGAUCUCUUGGUUCUG
rnacentral:misc_RNA from 1 species